rfam:Pongo pygmaeus mitochondrial DNA, complete sequence.
GUAAAUAUAGUUUAACCAAAACAUUAGAUUGUGAAUCUAAUAAUAGGGCCCCACAACCCCUUAUUUACC